rnacentral:rRNA from 1 species
GAUCCUGGCUCAGGAUGAACGCUAGCUACAGGCUUAACACAUGCAAGUCGAGGGGCAGCAUGUAGGUUGCUUGCAACCUAUGAUGGCGACCGGCGCACGGGUGCGUAACGCGUAUCCAACCUUCCCCGCAGUAGGGUGCAGCCCGUUGAAAGACGGAUUAAUCCCCUAUGUUGUCCAUUGACGGCAUCCGAUUUGGACGAAAGAUUUCAUCGCUGCGGGAUGGGGAUGCGUAGGAUUAGGUAGUCGGCGGGGUAACGGCCCACCGAGCCUUCGAUCCUUAGGGGUUCUGAGAGGAAGGUCCCCCCACACUGGAACUGAGACACGGUCCAGACUCCUACGGGAGGCAGCAGUGAGGAAUAUUGGUCAAUGGAGGCAACUCUGAACCAGCCAAGUAGCGUGCAGGACGACGGCCCUACGGGUUGUAAACUGCUUUUAUGCGGGGAUAAACGGCAUUACGUGUAGUGCUUUGCAGGUACCGCAUGAAUAAGGACCGGCUAAUUCCGUGCCAGCAGCCGC